rnacentral:tRNA from 1 species
GUGAGCAUAGUUUACAAAAAAAUUCUAGCCUGUGGAGCUAGAGACGGGAACUAACAUCCCCUGCCCACC